rnacentral:rRNA from 1 species
AUUGAACGCUGGCGGCAGGCCUAACACAUGCAAGUCGGGCGGAUGAAGGGAGCUUGCUCCUGGAUUCAGCGGCGGACGGGUGAGUAAUGCCUAGGAAUCUGCCUGGUAGUGGGGGAUAACGUCCGGAAACGGGCGCUAAUACCGCAUACGUCCUGAGGGAGAAAGUGGGGGAUCUUCGGACCUCACGCUAUCAGAUGAGCCUAGGUCGGAUUAGCUAGUUGGUGGGGUAAAGGCCUACCAAGGCGACGAUCCGUAACUGGCCUGAGAGGAUGAUCAGUCACACUGGAACUGAGACACGGUCCAGACUCCUACGGGAGGCAGCAGUGGGGAAUAUUGGACAAUGGGCGAAAGCCUGAUCCAGCCAUGCCGCGUGUGUGAAGAAGGUCUUCGGAUUGUAAAGCACUUUAAGUUGGGAGGAAGGGCAGUAAGUUAAUACCUUGCUGUUUUGACGUUACCAACAGAAUAAGCACCGGCUAACUUCGUG